rnacentral:rRNA from 1 species
UGCCCAAGAGAUCGGGAUAACACCUGGAAACAGAUGCUAAUACCGGAUAACAACAGAUGAUGCCUAUCAACUGUUUAAAAGAUGGUUCUGCUAUCACUCUUGGAUGGACCUGCGGUGCAUUAGCUAGUUGGUAGGGUAACGGCCUACCAAGGCGAUGAUGCAUAGCCGAGUUGAGAGACUGAUCGGCCACAUUGGGACUGAUACACGGCCCAAACUCCUACGGGAGGCAGCAGCG